rnacentral:rRNA from 1 species
UAUCUGCAGUCGAGCGGACAGAAGGGAGCUUGCUCCCGGAUGUUAGCGGCGGACGGGUGAGUAACACGUGGGUAACCUGCCUGUAAGACUGGGAUAACUCCGGGAAACCGGAGCUAAUACCGGAUAGUUCCUUGAACCGCAUGGUUCAAGGAUGAAAGACGGUUUCGGCUGUCACUUACAGAUGGACCCGCGGCGCAUUAGCUAGUUGGUGAGGUAACGGCUCACCAAGGCGACGAUGCGUAGCCGACCUGAGAGGGUGAUCGGCCACACUGGGACUGAGACACGGCCCAGACUCCUACGGGAGGCAGCAGUAGGGAAUCUUCCGCAAUGGACGAAAGUCUGACGGAGCAACGCCGCGUGAGUGAUGAAGGUUUUCGGAUCGUAAAGCUCUGUUGUUAGGGAAGAACAAGUGCAAGAGUAACUGCUUGCACCUUGACGGUACCUAACCAGAAAGCCACGGCUAACUACGUGCCAGCAGCCGCGGUAAUACGUAGGUGGCAAGCGUUGUCCGGAAUUAUUGGGCGUAAAGGGCUCGCAGGCGGUUUCUUAAGUCUGAUGUGAAAGCCCCCGGCUCAACCGGGGAGGGUCAUUGGAAACUGGGAAACUUGAGUGCAGAAGAGGAGAGUGGAAUUCCACGUGUAGCGGUGAAAUGCGUAGAGAUGUGGAGGAACACCAGUGGCGAAGGCGACUCUCUGGUCUGUAACUGACGCUGAGGAGCGAAAGCGUGGGGAGCGAACAGGAUUAGAUACCCUGGUAGUCCACGCCGUAAACGAUGAGUGCUAAGUGUUAGGGGGUUUCCGCCCCUUAGUGCUGCAGCUAACGCAUUAAGCACUCCGCCUGGGGAGUACGG